ACAAAAGUGGUGACAAUAGGCAUCUGUAUCUUCUUCCAGUUCAUAGGAGGAGUGCUUUCAAUUAUCCCCCAUUCAGGAUCAUGUUGACUUGGUGCCGAAGAAGAUGAAAUAUCUAGGAGUGUACCUAACAAAGGACUUGAAAAUUCUCUGAUAUGCUGAGAAAAGAAAUAGCUGAAGAUGUCAACAAAUGGAAAAACAUACCAUGCUCAUGGCUGGGAAGAUUCAAUUUAUCUUAAAAUUUGCUACUUCAGUCUUAAUUCUGUCUAUUGCUUGGAAGUUUUCGAAACAGCUUCUGUGAUUGGGCAUUUAUUUUUGAGAGUUAUAAGUCCUACAGACACAUCAACAAACCAACAAGCAAAAUUCAUCAGUUGGGACACAAAGAAUAAAUAGUUUGUACAGCCGUCAGAAUCAGAAAAUAGCACCAAAGGAGGACGGAUAAUUUCUAAAGGCAGACAAACGGAUGUCUAAUUGGAGAACUUCACAUGAAAGUCAGAGAGAGACGAAACAUGUAUUUAGAUAUAAUAAUUA